AGUCUUUCAAAUAAAGCGGAGAUAACAUUA
rnacentral:rRNA from 1 species